rnacentral:rRNA from 1 species
AACUUUCAGCAACGGAUCUCUUGGUUCCAGCAUCGAUGAAGAACGCAGCGAAAUGUGGUAAGUAAUGUGAAUUGCAGAAUUCCGUGAAUCAUCGAAUCUUUGAACGCACAUUGCGCCCUCUGGUAUUCCGGGGGGCAUGCCUGUCCGAGCGUCAUU